ACGUUUGACAGAACGAAAGAAGGAAAGCGAUGAAGCCCUCGGAAACCUCUGGAUGCUGGAUACCGGAGUUUACACACGGACGUUUACUAGAGAAGCGGUGUAGCACAGUCGGAUAUCACAGUGUACAGCUUAAAGCAAGGACAUGAACGCAGUAUUAGUGUCCUGAUGACAUCUAAACCGCAGCGUCUGCAUGCGCCCCUGCCAUGGACAGAGCUCCUCACAUAUUGGGUGCUGUCCUUUGGAUCUCAUCUCUACUCUUUCUACCAGCUGCACAGGUUCUCCAAAGACCAUGAAGCAAGAUUAGAAAGAGCAUUCCAGUUAGAAAAAGGACUCAUUGAGGGUUUUAAGAGAGAUCCAUCUGACUUCGAGUGGAGUUUAUGGACUGAAUGUGCAAAGCGGUCGUUACUGUGGAGCCUGACUGGUCAUGGCGUGAUAUCGAGGCUGACUAGCAUACUUUGUCCGAAGCUCAAGGUGCAUGCACUCACAUUAUAUGGCCUCCUAGCAGCGAGCACUGUGCUGGGAAUCAAAGGUGUGAGUGUGCUAUUGGUACAUUUAGGUGUCACCUUUUCAGUGGCUCUGCUGCGAAAGCCUGCUCUGUCGUGGACAUGUAACCUGCUGCUGCUGUCCACACUUCACAUCCAACCUCUUCAGGAGAUCCAGAAAAGCUGGUAUACGACGGAGGAGGAGUACUAUCUGCUGCUCUUCAGUGUUGCUGUCUGUGGACUGCGCUUCAUCAGCUUCAGCCUGGAGCAUUGCUGGAGCCCUGCAGCCAGCGGUGAAGCUGUGCAGCUCUGUUGGUUGUUUUCAUACACCUUCUAUCAUCCUUUUUUCUACAAUGGGCCCAUUAUCACAUACAAAGACUACGUUGAGAAGAUGCAGAGGCCCUCUGAGGAUGAGUCAGCUGUAAGUCACUUGUUGCUCACAUCAGGACGGCUCAUUCUGUGGUGGUGCACUGCAGAAUACAUGAUCCAUGUGAUGUACAUGCACUCCAUCCAGGCUAAUGAAACCUAUCUAGAAAUUCUUCCACCUUGGGCCUUGGGUGGUCUGGCCUUGGCCCUCGUCCAGUUCUUCUAUGUGAAGUAUCUGGUGCUGUUUGGCCUUCCUUCCAUGCUGGCUACUUUGGAUAAACUAGUGCCCCCCAAGCUUCCUCGUUGUGUGAGCAUCAUGUAUAGUUUCACAGGAAUGUGGAGGCACUUUGACGAAGGUCUGUAUCGAUGGCUCAUCAGAUACAUUUAUGUCCCGCUGGGAGGUUCACGGCGUGGUCCUCUCUACAAAAUGCUGUCCACUGGCCUCGCGUUUGGAUUCGUCUGCCUCUGGCACGGUGGGAACGACUACCUACAGUACUGGGCCCUGAUGAACUGGGCUGGAGUUCUGAUGGAAAAUGGACUGAAAUCUCUGUUUGCGUCACCCUUUGUUCAUGACACUGUUGAGCAGAAGCUCUCCCCAGCAAUGAAAAGACGUUGCAUCGCCUUUCUCUCUGCGUUCUCCACUGCCAUGCUCAUCCUUUCUAAUCUAGUGUUCCUUGGGGGGAUACAUGUUGCCAGAGUCUUUUGGAAGCGCGUCUUCAUUCAAGGUUGGGCUGGAGUGGACUUCUCACCCAGCAUGAGUCACCUUGACUGCGUAUGGGAGCGAGGAUCCAGAAGAACCUGCUGAGUAUGGCGCCUUGUCCUCACCUGCCGGCGUCUGGCCCGCGGCCACUUGACUGCUCCGAACUUGGCCAAAGCGCCGCUGAUCACACACUUUUCACAAGCUGCAGAGCUGAGCUGAAACUUAAAAAGGGAACGACUGGCCCUGUGAUGAAACAGGAACCUGCUCCGACCCAACGACAGCUGGGCCUGGAUCCAGCACCGGCACCAGCGUGACCCUCAAACAAUAGCAGUCAGGACAACAGAUGGGACUGUGUGGCAACUUCCUAACUCCAAACUAGGUCCGUGAGUUUUGGAGAGUAUUACAAUACAAGCUGUUCUAUCAGUGGGUAAUGAGAGUGUUGUUCCGAGUUCAUUACUUGAUUUCUUUGGGAUUAUUACAUCUGUGACAUUAAGCAGGUUCAGCGCGAGCGAUGGUCAACGAGGAAUCCUCUUAAAUGUGCCGAAACGCAGAGAUUUAGCCAUAAGAAGAUCAGGAGGAGAAUCCACCUGCUGAGUUACACUUUCCGACCAAGUGCUGCUAUCAGUGACGGGAACGAAAGCACAAAGACGAACACAGACAGCGUCCAGUAUGUAUAAAAUAUUUAUAAUGAAUAGUACAGUAUGUCAUAAUUCAUAAAGUUCCCAUUGUGCUUGAAGUCGUUACAUUUUUCAUCACAUUACGUGUGAACACAGAGGCAUGUGCAUAUAACAUAAACACAAAGUUCCACCUCUUGAUCAAGAAUCUAAACAUUGCAAUAUAAUCUGUGCAUAUACAUAUAUCGUGUGUGUGGGGUUCAAUACCUCGGCAGCUUCCUAGAGCUGACCACAAAAAUAGUUCUGUGUUCAAACCAUUUGGGAAAGAUAUUAAACACUGCAUCCCUCACAGCAAGGAGCAUGGGGCUAUAGUACGAAGGCACAGUGCUGCAUGCUUCUCAGUAGCAAUCAAAGUUUAUGUCUUUAAUAAUCAUAAAAUAUGCAGAUGUAAUGAAGUGGAAGGACUUUUAACUGGGCAACUGCUCACAGGUCUGAAUUUAGCCUUUAAACGUCUGUGCUUCAGAUUAAAACCUCUGACCACGUCAUGCAACUUCAAGUUUAAGACAGACUUUGUUAACAUACAAUGUCUUAAAUUACUUUGACAUCAUGAUUUUGUAUCAAGCGCACAUUACAUAUGGAGCUGAAGUUCAAUGGGAUUGUUUAAUCUUGACUCAACCACUAGAAUCGAGACUUGUGCUACAACUCGUUUUUACAUUCUGGAUUUCACACAUAAAGUGAACAUGUAAUGUGUUUUAAUUAGAUUCAGUAGCUAUACAUGUGCUGGUGGGAAUUCUGAAACGUUCCUGUAGCAGUUUGUUGAUUCUAAGUUCGUCAGCUCCAUAGUUAAUGUACAGAUGAGGGCAACAGUUCAAAUGCUGUGAUCUCUCCUCAUUUCCUCCACCAUAUUGUGUGAGGUGUUUUGUAUUUAUUCAGUGCAGCGCAGCCAGAACCUUAAACCCAUCUAAUACAGUAAAUGUCAUUUUAAUUGCUCAACAGUAAAACCUGUUAAUUAAAUGUCUGUGAUGAUUUGCUCGAAGUGACACAUAGUUUAGUUAUUUUUGUAUUUUUCUUGGGGAGCUGGGAAGGAAAUUAGUGAAUUAAUUUAUGUUGCAAAUCUAAACUACUAAAAAAUAAAAAUGUCUUCAAACCUCUUUGAUCAUUUUAAGUCUAGAAAUCAGCCAUAGUUGUAACUAUAUCUGUCCAAACACCUUUGAAUGCCGUUAUUGAACGUGGAAUCCGUGUACAGACCUCUGCCCUGUCAGUCCCAAUCACAGAAACUGAAUAAUCUUCCAUUUAGCUCUCUGUGCCUCUGUCAGGACCCAUUUUUGCCCCCUUUUGAUUUCUGAAUGCUUUGCUUGCGUGAGCAGCAGCUUUAUGAAUCCUCUGUGAUGGCGAGGUCGCAGUGUGAUGAUUUUAGUGCUUUCCUUCUCUCUAAAAUCAGAAUCCUUUGUGAGAGCAGACCUAUAAACAUCAGCCUUAAACCAAACACUUCUCACUUCUGCGAUGGCGCGUCCAUUUAUUUUUAGUAAUCUGAAUUUUUGAUGGAAAUGGCUACAAAAUGUGUUUUUCCUCUCAGCUGGCUCUGUCUCAUCUUGUUUUUAUCUUCAUAAGACAGAAGACAUGGGGGAACAUAAAUUAUCUAUGUAUAUAAUAAUAAAUAAUACAUAAUAAUGUCAUUUUGGCCACAUGAACGCUUUCACUGUGCAGUAACGAUAAAAUCAAGGACCUGCUUUUAAUUUAAGUUUUGAGCCACACUUUAAAACAUUAUUUGCUUUCGAAAUACAAAUACAUUUGCUGAUCGUAUAAAUGAUAGACUGACUGCAUUGAUUCCUUGAUCUGAAUAAAUCUACAAUAUGUAAAACUGUAAAAACACUGAUCGUUUUAAAAGGAGUCAUUUAUUAAAUUAUACUUGAUUUUCAGACAUAUGCAUAAUUAUUGCCUGACACCAGAACGCGUGGUUCUGCUUUACUUUUGGUUUGAUGCAUAUUUUUCCUGUUUUACUUACAGUAUCAGGGGCUCUGUUGUAAAUAAAUAAUGAUUUACAGUGCGUCACCACACACAUGCUCUAAGACGUAGUUCAUCCCUUUGUUUCCUCCUUCUUUCCAUUAAAACACAAUCAUUGUAUGUGUGCAUUAAUUUACAUUGAUAAUUAACAAAAAAAUGUACAAGUGGUGAUGAGUGAUUAAAUUUGUUUAGUUUUUGUUA